rnacentral:rRNA from 1 species
AACUCUUAGCGGGGGAUCACUCGGCUCGUGCGUCGAUGAAGAACGCAGCUAGCUGCGAGAACUAAUGUGAUUUGCAGGACACAUUCUUAUUUAAAUCUUAUUUAAGAUUAAAUGCUUAUUUAAAUAAGA